rnacentral:lncRNA from 1 species
UUGGAAACAUGUUCGAGGAGAAAAUAUGGACUUUAACUAAGGAAUCAUAAUUACAUCAGUUAUAUAUAGAAUUUAACCUGCCAAGAAAUGAGAUGUUAGAUGUUGGUAAUGAAGGAUUUAUUUUGAAAAACAUGUUCAUUUGAGCAACAUCAUAUAGCAUGCAAUUAACAAUUAAAAGGCGGAAUCAUGCUUGCAUGCACUCAAAAAUAAAACAUUACCAUGAAAUUCAAAGCCUAGUAGAUUGGUGAACCAAUAAUCAUCUCAAAACAAAGUGAGUUGAAAUUAUUACCUUUGUAGAUUCCUCUUUGCAUAAGCAAAGGCUAAUCACCCAAA